UUUUAAGGCUGAAAAAGCUGGGGGAGAUCUAUUAAUCCUUGCUUGAUCGCCCAGGGCUCCUCUCUGCCUUUACAGACCUGUGAAGGCUAAGAAAGCAUUGAUAAAGCUCAGAUUUCAAGGUGCAUAAAUUGGUUUUAUUAUAUGGACCUUGGCUGAACUACAGAGACUCAGACCAACUGCUGAAGCUAUCUGAAUCCUUAGCUGACACAAUUUGUCGUUUAUAGGCUGUCCUCAGCCCGGAUGAGUUGGACAUGGACAGAACACAGGAAUGUGCUGUCAGAGAGAGCUGUCCUUCCAAGAACAACAUGGCCCUGAGUGAUGCCCAGAACUCUGAAGCAUAAUAUAUUUGUCCAGGAUCUUGUUUUUUUUUCUGUUGAGUUUUUUUUCUCAACCUGACAUCAUGGAUGGUGGCAGAAGGUUGCCAGAAAUACUUCAAAAAAGGGGAUCAGAGCUACAGCUCACUUUUUUUAGGUAUCUGUGCUGUAGAUAUUGAAGAGCUUGCCCCAAUCUGCACCACUGCAUCUUUGCCUUGGUCCUGCAGCAGGACUCUAAUGAAACAUUGCAUGAUUGAGAAGAUUAGACAUAUGUCCAGAUAGCUGAACUGCACAAAGAUGGAUGACAGGUCUAAAUAUAGUAUGUUAAUGCACUGCAUCACCAUUGUGUGUAAAGUAUGUGUGUAAUACACAUGUAUAAUUAAAUUAGCUGAUUGCAGAAGCAAUACCUUUGACACUCCAGUGCUGUGUGCUUGUCAUAGAAACGUGAUUUCAAUUGCCAGCUCAAUGCUUUGUCAGGUGGGUUUUAUUUGACAAGCUCUUCUCAGACAACUUAUUCUUAAUAAAUAGCUGAACAUGAAAAGAAAGUUUCUUGUUCUCAGCAAGGUGGACCUAAGGAACUUGUUACUCUCCAAUGGAAUUUCAAAAGGAAUUAAAUAAUACAAUACCAGAUUUCUGUAAAACUCUUUUAUCCACACUCAGGGUGAUGAACAUCUUUAUAGAUCAGGAUAGCAAAACUUGGGUAUAGUGUAGUUAAAUUAUGGGGUGGCGUUGCUGUAGCCCAGUGUAGCCAGGCUGUAAAUGGUGCCUUUUCAUCUGAUUGGAAGAAUUGCUCAGUUUUCUCUACCUGUUGAAUCUGCAUUGUGUUUGAGAACAGCACUAAGUGCUAACAACUUUUAAAUUCUGCAAGGGCUUACACUGAGCCUUUAUUUUCCUUCAUUGUUUAGGAAUGGGUUACUUAGCAUUAUCUUUUGUAUUCUAAACUACUGGUAAGAAAAUAAAAGUGUAAUCAGAACCUGGAGCUUAGCAUUAGGAGUUUAAUGUGCAUUGAUAGCAAUGUAUUUGUGUCUCAUUUAGUGUCCUGCCAUUGAAAUAUGCCCAUUUAAAGCUUCCUUUUAUUAAGAUAUCCCCUUGAUAAUACAGCUAGAGAUUACAGGUUAUUUGUGACAAAUCCUCUGCUAGGUAUUGUAUAUAUAGCUAUGCCUAAAGUAAUUAAUAUAAAAUAGAUUUCAAGGGAAAACA